CCGUACAUACUCCAGUGCCCCAUUCCAUUGAUACAUAUCCAAAAUCCAAAAACAAAACAAAACCCCAAACAUCUGAGCCAAUUUUCUCUUUUCCAUCUCCUCCACGUGUCACCUUCUCAUUCGCUCCCCUCUUUUUCUUUUUUGCCCUCAACGCACAUUACCAUUAUUAGUCCACACGCACACAUACCCAUAAACAACAAUAUACUCCGUAUAAUAUCUUCUCCUUUUUCUUUUCUUCUUCAUCCAAUUUUAUUCUUCUCACCAACAUGUGUAACUAACUCUAUGGUUUGUUUUUCUCUUUUUAUAUUUAUGGUUAUCUUUUUCUGUUUGUAA